ensembl:lncRNA
GUGGAUGCAGUGUCCCUCAAGGUGGAUGCCUUAUGAUGUGUUGGAGGAUUCAGAGAUCAUGAAGGAGGUUGGAGUGAUCCUGCAGUCAUUGCAAUGAAAUUGCAGUGCCACAGAAGCUGGCUGCAGUGUCCCUGAAGUGGUUUCAGUGCCCCGUCCUGUGUCCCUGAAUGUGGAUGCAGUGCACCUGCAGUGGAUGCAGAUUACCAAAAGCUGGUUGCCACAUGAUGUGACAGAGGAUGCAGAGCCCUGGAGUUGGAUGCAGUUAGCUGGCAGUGAUUGCAGUACACCAUCAGUGCCACUUCAGCUGGAUGCAGUGUCCCUGAAGUGGUUGCAAUGCCCCCUGCAUUGUCCUGGAAUGUGGAUGCAGUGCUCAUGCAGUGGAUGCAGUGUCCCACAAUGUGGAGGCAUUGUGGUGUGUUGUAGUAUGCAGUGCCAAUGAAGGUGAAUGCAGUGAUCCUGCAGUGAUGGCAGUGCGCAUGCAGUGCCUCUUCUGCUGGAUGCAGUGUCCCUGCAGUGGUUGCAAUGCCCCUUGCAUUGUCCUGGAAUGUGGAUGCAGUGCCCAGGCAGUGGAUGCACUCUCCCACAAGAUGGAUGCAGUAUGCUAUGAUGGAUGAUGCAGUUCUCAUGAUGCUGGAUGCAAUGUCCCUGCAGUGCUAGCAGUGUCCACCGCAUUGUUCGGGAAUGUGGAUGCAGUAGUCAUGCAGUGGAUGCUGUGUCCCACAAGGUGGAUGCAUUGUGUUGUGAUGGGGGAUGCAGGGCCCAUGAAGAUCGAUGCAGUGAUGCUGCAGUGGUUGCAGUGCCCCCUACAGUUCCCUGAAUGUGGAUGCAGUGCUCCUAAAGGUUUAUGCAGUGUGUUGUGAUGGAGGAUGCAGUGCCCAUGAAGGUGGAUGCUGUGUCCCUGCUGUUCUUUCAGUGCCCCUGGCAUUGCCCUGGAAUGUGGAUGCAGGGGUCAUGCAGUGGAUGCAGUGUCCCACAAUGUGCAUGAAGUAGUGGCAGUGUCCCACAAGGUGGAUGUCGUAUGAAGUGAUGGAAAAUGCAAUGCCCACGACAGUGGAUGCAGUGAGCCUGUGCUGAAUGCUGUGCACCUGCAGUGCGGCUUCAGCUGCAUGCAGUCUCCCUGCAGUGGUUGCUGUGCUGACUGCAUUGUCCAAGAACAUGGAUGCAGUGCCCAGGUAUCAGAUGCAGUUUCCCACAAGGUGCAUGCAGUAGGUUGUGACGGAGGAUGCAGUGCCCAUGAGGGUGGAUGCAGUGAUCCGGCAGUGGUUACAGUGCACCAUGCUGUGACCCUGAAUGUGCAUGCUAUGAGCAUGCAGUGGAUGCAGUAAUCCGGCAGUGAUUGCUGUGUGCCUGCAUUUCCACAUCAGCUGGAAACAUUGUCCCUGCAGGGGUUGCAGUGCCACCUUCUGUGUCCCUGAAUGUGAAUGCCAUUCCCAUGCAGUGGAGGCAGUGCACCUAAAGGUUUAUGCAGUGUGUUGUGAUGGAGGAUGCAGUGCCCAUGAAGGUGGAUGCUGUGUCCCUGCUGUUCUUUCAGUGCCCCUGGCAUUUCCCUGGAAUGUGGAUGCAGGGGUCAUGCAGUGGAUGCAGUGUCCCACAAUGUGCAUGCAGUAUGUUGUAACGGAGGAUGCACUGUGCAUGAAGGCGGAUGCAGUGAUCCAGCAGUGGUUGCAGUGCAGCCUGCUGUGUCCCUGAAUGUUGAUGCUGUGAACAUGCAGUGGAUGCAGUGAUCCUGCAGUGAUUCCAGUGCGCCUGCAUUUCCUCAUCAGCUGGAUGCUGUGUUGAUGCAGUGUUUGCAGUGCCCCCUGCAUUGUCUGGGAAGGUGGAUGCAGUGCCUAUGCAGUGGAUGCAGUGUACCUAAAGGUAUAUGCAGUAUGUUGUGACGGAGGAUGCAGUGCCCAUGAGGGGGAUGCAGAGUCCGCUCAGUGGUUGCAGUGCCCCCGGCAUUGUCCUGAAAUGUUGAUGCAGUGCCUAUGUGGUGGAUGCAGUGAAUCUUCAGUGAUUGCAGUGCGCCUGAAGUACCACUUCAGCUGGAUGCAGUGUAGCUUCAGUAGUUUCAGAGCCCCCUGCCAUGUCGCUGAAUGUGGAUGCUGUACCCAUUCAGUGUCUGCAGUGUGACUCAAGGUGGAUGCAGUAUGUUGUGAAGGAGGCUUCAGUGCCCAUAAAGGACGAUGCAGUGAUCCUGCAGUCAUUGCAGUGCCACUUCAUCUGGAUGCAGUG